rnacentral:misc_RNA from 1 species
CCCUCGACGAGGAACAGAAGUUCAAGGCGGAAGCCCGCCGGAACAAGUUGCUGGGUCUCUGGGCGGCCGAAAAACUGGGCAAAACCGGUGAUGACGCCGUGGCCUACUCCAAGGAGGUCGUCGCGGCCGAUUUCGAGGAAGCCGGCGAUACCGACGUCCUGCGCAAGGUCGCAGCCGACCUCGCCAGCAAGGGCGUCUCGGAGACCG